rnacentral:rRNA from 1 species
GGCUACACACGUGCUACAAUGGGUAGUACAGAGAGUCGCAAAGCCGCGAGGUGGAGCUAAUCUCAGAAAACUAUUCUUAGUUCGGAUUGUACUCUGCAACUCGAGUACAUAAAGUUGGAAUCGCUAGUAAUCGCGAAUCAGCAAUGUCGCGGUGAAUACGUUCUCGGGUCUUGUACACACCGCCCGUCACACCACGAGAGUUGGUUGCACCUGAAGUAGCAGGCCUAACCGUAAGGAGGGAUGCUCCGAGGGUGUGAUUAGCGAUUGGGGUGAAGUCGUAACAAGGUAUCCGUACGGGAACGU